CACUGGAACGGUGGCUAAUACCGGAUGUGCCGAGAGGUGAAAGAUUUAUUGCCUAGAGAUGAGCUCGCGUCUGAUUAGCUAGUAGGUGGGGUAAGAGCCUACCUAGGCGACGAUCAGUAGCUGGUCUGAGAGGAUGAUCAGCCACACUGGGACUGAGACACGGCCCAGACUCCUACGGGAGGCAGCAGUGGGGAAUUUUCCGCAAUGGGCGAAAGCCUGACGGAGCAAUACCGCGUGAGGGAGGAAGGCUCUUGGGUUGUAAACCUCUUUUCUCAGGGAAGAAAAAAAUGACGGUACCUGAGGAAUCAGCAUCGGCUAACUCCGUGCCAGCAGCCGCGGUAAUACGGAGGAUGCAAGCGUUAUCCGGAAUGAUUGGGCGUAAAGCGUCCGCAGGUGGCUGUGUAAGUCUGCUGUUAAAGCGUCUAGCUCAACUAGAUACAAGCAGUGGAAACUACACAGCUAGAGUGCGUUCGGGGCAGAGGGAAUUCCUGGUGUAGCGGUGAAAUGCGUAGAUAUCAGGAAGAACACCGGUGGCGAAAGCGCUCUGCUAGGCCGCAACU
rnacentral:rRNA from 1 species